rnacentral:rRNA from 1 species
CAGCCGCCGCGGGAAUACGAAGGGUGCAAACGUUGCUCGGAAUUAUUGGGCGUAAAGCGCACGUAGGCGGCUCCGCAAGUCGGAUGUGAAAUCCCUCGGCUUAACCAAGGAAGUGCAUCCGAAACUGCAGAGCUUGAGUACUUAAGAGGAUCGCGGAAUUCCCGGUGUAGAGGUGAAAUUCGUAGAUAUCGGGAGGAACACCAGUGGCGAAGGCGGCGAUCUGGGAAGAUACUGACGCUGAGGUUCGAAAGCGUGGGGAGCAAACAGGAUUAGAUACCCCGGUAGUCCCUGUCUCUUAUAC